AGCUAUUAUUUGAUCAAUUGACCCCUCAGUUAAACAUGCACUUGGGUUAAAAGAUAAUUGAUGGUGAAAUCAAAUUGGAAUGUUUCAUGAAUCAAGGCAUCCACACUGAUGAAAAACAUUUGCUUCACAAAUUGCAAAACUUUCAUAAAUUGCUACUGUGCAAAUGAGUACUUUAAAAAUGGUGCUGUGGAUUCUAGACAUUCUCAAUUUUUCUGUAUUUUAGUUUUAUAAGUGGUGUGCUUUUGUAGGGAAAUGGUGCUUCACUUACAUUGCUGGGCAUGGAAUUUCCUUGGUUUAUCUGUAAAGCAAAUUCUUGUUCUACUUUCUCAUCCAGUUAAGAAAAAAGACAGUAAAAGAACAAUGAUCAGAGGGAAAAUAACCAGGAUAUCUGCUUAUCAAUUUGCCACUUUUUAGAAACACUGGCCCUUAAAUUCAAUAACGACAUGAUUCAGUAAUUUUGGAAGAGAGAACAAAUACUUAUCUAUAUCUUUUGUGAAAAGUAAUGCCCUUGCUCAGGAUGAGGUGAAAAGUUAACUCAAAGGAAAAGAGAAGUGGAUCAGGAGUCAGCCUGGGUUUAGCCCAAAGACUGACUACAAGUUAAUGCACAAUCUCGGGCAGACCACUUAACUUCUGUGGGUUUAGACUUUCUCACAUGUAAGGUAAGGCGGCUGGCUCAGAUAAGGUCUAAGAUCCUUUCCCACUCUGACAUUUUAUAGUUCCUUACCAAUGAUGCCCCUGAUCUUUCUCAACACUCAAAGCUGUGAGUCUGGGAGUAGACUCUGUGUGUUUGUGUGUGUGUGUGUGUACCCUUCAUGACAAGAUGGCAUAACCUCACUGUGACAGGCAGUUUUUAAGAUAAUCCCUGGUGAUCUCUGCCUCCUGAUGUCCACAUUCUUGUAUCAUACACCCCCUGCCUUGAAUGUGGGCUGCACUUACUGAGUCAUUUCUAACCAACAGAAUGCAGUAAAAAUAAUGGGAUACACUUUUUGAGAUUAGGUUACCAAAAAACUGUGGCUUCUGUCUUAUCUUUCUUUCUCACUGGCUCUGAGAAAAACCAACUAGCAUGUUGUUAGCUGCCCUAGGAGAGAUUCAUAUGUGACAAGGAACCAAUGUCUCUCCAACAGACAGUAAGAACAUGAGGUCAACCGGCAACCAUGUGAGAGAACUUGGAGGCAGAUUCUCUGAAGCCACACCAGGAUUCCUGACCACAAAGUCUCUGACAUGAGAAAUGCUGUUGAUGAACCUCAGGGUGAUUUCAUCCCAUUCUUCAGGCAACAGCAUGAGCAGAAACCCAAUGCAGAUGGUGAUGGUAGCAGCCAGGCGGACGACAUUGAAUAUCACCUCCUGCUUUAGGAGAUCCACAGCUAGGAAAGAAAAAUCAAGUCGUGCAUUGCAUAUGCCUGUUUCUAAGCUUUGAAAACAAGUCACCAAAGUCUGUGUUACUUCUAGAGAUUUCCAAGAGUCAUCUUUAUUCUUCCAAGUUAGUGUUUCCUUUUUCCACAUUGCUAGGUUUGCUUUCCAUCGCCUGUCUCUAAAUCAUGCUUAUCUUUCAAGGCUUAGCUCAAAUUCCAUGUAAUCUGACUUACUUACCUCCCCAGUUUUCUCUCAGUACUUUUCCUCUGUACCCCUUUACCUUUCUCCAGUUUCAUUGAACCAUUGGAGAUUUUUUAAAUGAGCCAAACUUGUUAGUGUCUCAGACUUGUGCAGGCUGUUCUUUUAAAAAUUUAAUUGAGGUGAAAUUCAUGUAAUAUAAAAUUAACCAUUUUAAAGUGGACUUAGUGGCACUUAGUAUAUUCACAAUAUGAUGCAGCCACCACCUCUCUCUGGCCCCCAAAUAUCUCCAUCACUUCAAAAUAAAAGCCCAUACCUAUUAACUCCUCAGCUUCUUACCUCCACUCCCCAGCCCUCAGCAACCACCAAUCUACUUUUUUUCCCCCUCUAGGUUUGCCUAUUCUAGUUAUUUUAUAUAAAUGGAGUCACAUCCUCUGUCCUUUUGUGACUGGCUUCUUUCACUUAGCAAAAUAUUUUUGAGGUCCAUCCAUAUUGCAGCAUGUGUCAGCACCUCAUUCCUUCUUAUGGCUGAAUAAUAUUUCAUUGCAUCAUAAUUUGGUUAUUCAUUCAACUGCUGAUGGACAUUUAGGCUUCUCUACCAUUUUGCUAUUGGGAAUAGGGCUACUAUGAACAUUUGUGUAUGAGGAUUUUUUAAAUCUGUUUUCACUUUUUGGGGGUAUACAGUCAGCAGUGGAGUUGUUGGCCACACAUGUGCUGUUCUUUUUGCACGAGCUACCCUUCACUCCUCAUAUCUCACUUCAUCCAGCUAAACCUCUCCUUAGAUCUCUCCCCUUAGGCUUCUCGCAGGAAGCCUUUUGGAUGCUCCUCCUACGCGCCCUUGCAGCAUUCAGCACGUGCCUCUAUUAAAGCAAUUCUAUGUUGUAAUUACUCAAUUUUUUUCUUUUUGUCUCCCUCUCAAUGCUACAUGGUCCUGAGGGCAGAGACUGUGCCUUAUUCAGGACCUUUCCUAGUGUUAGGAAAGUUCCUGGUGUACACUAAUUGCUCAGAAAUUAUUUGUCAGAUGAAUGAAUGAACUUCCUUGACAACUCCACUGAGAUAUUUCUUUCCUCUGAAUAUCUUAUAGCUGCUGGAGUCUGUCUCACACAAUUUGGCAUUUAAUAAUAAAUUAUUUUGUAGAGUUCCCAGUUGUUUCAUGUAGGUUGGCCUUCUUUUACAAAUUCAGUCAUAAACAUCUUAAGAGAAUAGUAAUGUAAUUUUUUUUCUUUUUUGCAGUCCUGAUCACAUGACAAAUGUUCAAUAAACAUUUGCUGAUUGUCGUGGAGGACAGAAAAAUGGCUGCUCAAGACUUGAAAUUAUAAAAUUUUAAAGUUAAAAGGACUAUACAAUCAUCCAGAUAAUCCAUUUGUAUUUCUUGUUUCACUGGCAGGUUUCUCUAGAAAUAUUAUCCUGGAAAAAUAGCUUCUCUUGUCCCUGAGGUGAAUAAAAUUGUUUUUUCCUUAUAUCUAUUCCAGAGGGCCACCUGCUCUGCCCCAGGAGAGCCUUCUGUGGCUCCCCAUGGAUUGUCUGAGGAGAAGCCAACCCCAUGUACAUCCUCUACACUUUCAUUAGUGAUGGUUACUUGAAAGUCCUAUGCUGGGAUGCCUUUUGUUUCCAUAGGACUUUCUCUAAAAAUACCACAAAAUUAGGUUGUCAGGGAGAUUACAUGAAACCCAAAUGAUACAUUUGGUAUUUAAUUCUAAAAGCACAACCAAGUAAAAACAGUGUUUUUUAGCUGCAAAUUUUAAAUCUGCUGCAUAGUUAUUCUGUUGUCUGCCACCUUCACGAUAUUUAAAAACAUCUUCCCAGGCAAGGAACAUAAUUCACAAUUUCUAGAAGGAAAAACUCAGGACACAGAACAAACACAAACAAGAGACUUGUAGUGGCCAGGAUCUGCACAUGUCACAUGGUACCUGUACCUGCAUUUCCAGGAACGCUGAGCACUGUCCCAAUGGAGAUUAGGAUUGGGUAUGUCAGCACCACCCCAACAUUCACCAGGAUGUUGAAGGCUGUAAAAUAGAGGAGGAAAUACAAGAUGAAGGAGAAAUAAUAUGCUGGACUUUUUUCUUCUCAAAGUAAACAAAUCAAUGUCUUUGCUACAUGUGCCAUUUAAACUGUCUAUACCUUUGAUCCUCUAAUUUUGGAGAUGGAUGCAUGUGUAUUCUACCUGAAUUAGUCAUUUUUUUCUUUCCUCCUCUGCCACUCUGUUUACCUGAAUCUUGCCAAUAGGCUGGCAAAAGGCAUAUGGAGCAAAUACAAAGAGGUAAAAUAAUUGAGUCACAGCACUGCUUAUUAGCACUAUAAAGGUAGGUUGGGGCCAGCCAGAGGUUAAAAGCAGGUGAUUGAUUGAAGAUGGUGCCUCAUCUCUUUAUUGCUAUGCUAUUUUGUGCCACAUUCCUGGACAUUAAAUGGCUCCAGUGUUACUGCCUAAAGGAAGGUCUAUCCAAUGAUAACCUAUGCUGUUUUAUCCCCUCUCUCUGGAGGUCAGCAUCAUGUGGGCAAACAAGGGUGGGUUUAAUGUAAUUCACUGAAUUCCAGAGACUGUCUCCAUAUCCUGAUUUGUGUACAGAUAAUCAGAGGGCAGAUCCACAGAACCAAUUGAAGGUGUAGCUUCAUGCUCUUCAAUGAAUACCUUUUGGACCUCUUUGGUUAAAUAUAAAAUUAGUUACAAUAAUCAUUUAUCCACUUUAAAACUUAUCAAAAACACAUUUUCAAAAAGAAAAAAAUUAUAAAUUACAAAACAUUAUUCUAAUAGAAUCCACUCAAAUGUUUGUUUCAGGGGAUAGAGAGAUGAGUGCUAUCUCCGUGACAAUGAGGCAAGCAUGUUGCCUAUAUCUCUGUAGAACCAAAAAAAGUUCUAGAACCAUUCCAAUUAGGAUGAUGUAUGUUCUUCUAUUGUCAUCUGUAAUUCCCGCUUUAGGCCCACUGGGUCACUUGUGCUUGGUAGUUAGAAACAGUGAGUUUGACUUUUACUAGACUUGGUCUCCUUUUUAUUGUUCAUACAAUAGUACUGGCAAGCAAGGCAGAGGGUCUUCCGAGGCUAAUAACCGCUCUUCACUCCUGACAAAGCUGCAACAUGAAUGAAUAUUCCAGCACUUUGACACUCUCUUCAGACUUAGGGAGUCCAAUAUGGCAAAUUCUUACAAACCAGGAAUUUAUGAAAUACAGCACAGGCUCUGCUGAACUCCGUAGUAUGGGACCUAGCCUGAGUUUAAGUGCAAUUCAGACAUGCUAGGUGAAUGGAGGAGGCUGACUUGCAUUUGGGCUAACGCAUUUCCGAAAAGAUAGGUCAGCCUGAGAGGAGUGAGGCAAAGUAAACGUAAGCAAACAGGAAACCAUAACUAUAGGAGAUGUGGGGUAGUUCAGGGUGCAGAUUGAUGUGUAUCUCUCAGACCUGUGUCAGCCUAGCCUCAGCCAGAUCAUGUCUGAUUUCUAUGGAGAAAAGAGGGAUGGCAAUAAACACUUAGGAAUAGGAGCACUGAAGACCGUAAGAUCCUGGGGUGUGUAACAGCCAGGAGGGAGGCUAUCUCCUCAAUGGUCACAGCACAACUUCGGCACAGUGAGCUCUGCAGUGCACCGGGGUGGGCCUGGUGGAGCAGCUGCAGUGCUGCUUAGCACUGCAGCCAGUGGAGUGUGGAGCUCAUACUGCUUGGUGGCGAAUGUCAGUGUUUAGCUAGCACAGGUGGCAUCCAGCCUCUGCAGGCUUGCUUAGGAGCAUGUAUUGGAUAUGCCAAGGAGUAUAUGUUGGUGGAGGGCUACUUUGCAGCAAGGUGGAAAUCAUGUGUGCAACGAGGAGGCUAAAGGUCAUUAAAAUUUUAAUUAGGAUUGUUCCCUUUUAUGUUGUUUUUGGCCAGAAAAUAAUCUAGGUGCUUUUAAUGAGGAUGUUUUGGUCUUACGGAAAUAUCGCUAUUGAUUUCUACUCAACUUAGCAGAGGUUAUGAGAGGUGCUAACCAUAUAAUUUUGGCGUCAAAAAGUAGAACUCAAGGGACCAACUAUUAAUAUUUGAUCCUUCUCUUGAGUGUUUUCUGUCUAAGACCUCCCCUGAGUCUGAGGGACUGAGCCAGCAUAGAAAAAGAUGACCCAAUCAAUACUCUUGCAGGGAUGAAAAUAAGAACAUUUUGCUCCCAGGAAUUGCAGUGCUGCUACUAUUUCAAAUUAUAUCACCUCAAUAAAGAAGGUCAGUUGAGAGUUGAUGGAUGUUCUGCAGGCCGAGUAUUGUGGGAAAAUGAGGAGUGGGCAGAGGGAGUUGACCUCCGAGUGGCGUGUGGAAAUGGGAGCGGCAUGAAAAGGAUUUGAUUCUGAGUAAACAAACACCAAGUCAUUGGGUUGUUGCUGUUUUUUGACUGCCUUGGUGAGAGAAGAGCAACUUUGUUAUUUUACAGGCUCCUCUCACAUCAAGUGACAACAGCAGCACAGCUUAAAAGUCGGAUCCCAGAGCUCAGGUGAGGCAGCCAGCCUCAGAGUUAUAGGAAGCUGGCAGUGAAGACAUUACAAAGACUCCAGGUGAUUUUUUCUUGGCCAUUAACUAGGCACUGUCUACCCAGCCAGGAUCACCAAGCCCAGUGCAUGCUGCUGUCUCUUUACUGGCAAUGUCUUCCUAUCACAAAUCCAUCCUCCAUUCUCAGCCAGAGUGAGCUGUUUCAUAUGCAGAUAUGAGCCUAUCACCAACCUGCUUAAAGAUUAUUAAGUGAACUUUAAAUCCAAACACCUCAAAAUGGCUUUCCAGGCUCUUCCCAACCUGCUUCCUUCUUAAAUAGCAUCUCCUUCCCUCCCUCCCUUCUUUCCUUCUGAACUCAGUGCUCCCACCAGUUUGAACCACUCUGAGUUCUUUGAAUGCACCAUCUACUCCCUAACCUCUGCUCAACACACCAUGGCACACAUGGAACAUUAUAACGUGAUACAGUGCAUUAGAAAGAACGAAUGAGGCUGAAGAAGAAGAAUGGAUUGAAGGCCAGUGGUAUACAGAGAGGCUUGGGCCUCCAUUGCACACCUUAACUCAUGGGAGGCAUACUAGUUGGAUAGCUUGAACCUAAUCAACCAGCAUCUUGCAAAGAACCUGCUAAACAUGACCAAUGACGUUGAACAACAUACGUUUGGGAACUAGAGCACAGAGUUACCCAAGAAAAUAAUCCUAUGAUGAUAAUCUAACUAGCCAAAGAAAGAUUGAGUGAUAAAGGGAAUGGAAGGCAAAACCCGAGGCCACUUACCCAGCCACAGCCCUGCCAUCCCACAGAGACAGCCCCACGGCAGAGCUGCAAAAGAGGACCAGUGCUCCACCUUGGUGAAAUACAAGAUGACUGGGGUGAAGGAGAUGAAGAUCAAAUUGAAGAAACCCAAGGUGGAGACAAAGUGUGCGGCUUCCCCAAAGUUGGCACUUCCAAGAAACAUUUUAAACAAGACCUGGAAUGAGAAAAAAAACUCUACAGCCACACAGAGACUUAGCUAGAACAGAAAGAGAGAAGCAUUUUUCACUUUAGGGGCCAGACAAUGCUGUUAAGUUCUGAAAGAAUGAAAAUCUGAGUAUCUGAAAUGUUAGAAAAAUUCUCCAUGAUAUGAGCAGUAAUUCAAAAACACAAAAUGACUCUUCUUGGCCUCAGCUUUCUGGAAAUGUGUCUGCAGGAAGCCAGCGCCUAAAAAUGCUCGUAUGUGUUCAUUAACAUGAUGACAACCACUGAAGUGCUCCUGGGACACAUUAACAUCCAUAAGAGGAAUUCUGCUGAAAAUACACCAUCUAGUGGUGCCACCUGCUCAGCUUCUGAAAAAUAUGCUGUUAGUUUCCUAAGUCUGCUGUAACAAAUUACCACAAACUUGGUGACUUAAAACAACAGAAAUUUAUUCUCUCAUGGUUCUGGAGACCAGAAGUUCAAAAUACAGCUGGGACCAAAGGCAUCUCUAGGGAAGGAUACAGUCCUUGCUUCUUCCAGGGUUCUGCACAAUCCACGACAGCAAGAAGACAAAGGCUUUGUUACAACAGAACAGAGCGGAGACAUCAGUGGCCGUCAGCUUCUUUAAAGCCAGUAAAUAAAGGAAAGAAAACAGAAAUUAAUAUCCAGGUACUGAUGGUGACACCUCUUGUCUUAUCUGACUCAUCGCAGCCAUUUUCAGGUAAGAGCACAAACACUCAAUACCCAUCCUUCAUCUGUGAAGUAUACCAAACCCAGUUCUGAAAUCUGCAGGCUUCAGGGAGUGUAUGAGGUUCCUUGGAAAACAGCCCACAUGUGCCCAAGCACAGAGCUAGGCCCCCUUCUCUGAGAUAUUCUCUGGAGGUUGCCUGAAAAGCCAUUCUGUCGUUUUUGAGCAUUCUCAGAAGAGCCUGGAGAAAUACAGAAAUGGGUAGUUGCUGAAAUCACUAGCUACCGGAAGAGGGAGAAGAUUCUUUCCCAGUGGGCAAACGAGAGAGGGUCAAGGCCGCUACUACUCUGUGAACAGGCUACAGACAACUCCUAGAACCCGGAGGGAAAGGGACUGUCAUAUGUCUGUGCAUCACACAUGUCUUUGGGUUUUAUUUCUAAGACACUACGCCUCUUUCUAAUAUAUCUGCCCAAUUGACUAAUGUUUUUCUUGCUAGCAUUUUUAAGGCAGAAAAAUGAAGAAAGGCUCUGUGAUAACUCCCAACUAAAUAAAUAGAAAACUCAGGUUGUACUUAGAUACAAACAUUUGGCCCUUUUGUGGAGAAAUUGUCUGAAUUCAGUGUCAGAAGUCUGAAUUCAGUGUCAGAAAAUGAUCACUUCGGUUGUUAAAUCUUCUAUUUGAUUUUCAAUUAAGUUGGCUACAUUUAGCCCCAGGGGCCAUUUUUUUCCUUUACG